GAGGGUAUAGCUCAGUGGCAGAGUGCCUGCUUAGUAUGCACAAGUUCCUGGGUUCAAUUCCCAGUAUCUCCA
rnacentral:tRNA from 1 species